CAGUAGCCGCGGGAACACAGAGGGUGCGAGCGUUAAUCGGAUUUACUGGGCGUAAAGCGUGCGUAGGCGGCUUCUUAAGUCGGAUGUGAAAUCCCUGAGCUUAACUUAGGAAUUGCAUUCGAUACUGGGAAGCUAGAGUAUGGGAGAGGAUGGUAGAAUUCCAGGUGUAGCGGUGAAAUGCGUAGAGAUCUGGAGGAAUACCGAUGGCGAAGGCAGCCAUCUGGCCUAAUACUGACGCUGAGGUACGAAAGCAUGGGGAGCAAACAGGAUUAGAUACCCCCGUAGUCCCUGUCUCUUAUAA
rnacentral:rRNA from 1 species